CACGUAGUUAGCCGGAGCUUAUUCCUCAGGUACCGUCAAAUUCCUCUUUCUUCCCUGAUAAAAGAACUUUACAUUACGAAUAACUUCUUCGUUCACGCGGCGUUGCUCGGUCAGGGUUCCCCCCAUUGCCGAAAAUUACCCUACUGCUGCCUCCCGUAGGAGUAUGGACCGUUCUCAGUUCCAUUGUGGCCGUUCAACCUCUCAGUCCGGCUACGCAUCAUCGCCUUGGUAGGCCCUUACCCCACCAACUAGCUAAUGCGCCACAGGCCCCUCCUUAAGCAGAUCUCUCUUUUAAAUAUAAAAGAUUCUUCCUCUAUAUCCUAUCCAGUUUUAUCCAUCGUUUCCAAUGGCUAUCCUCGUCUUAAGGGUAGGUUACCUAUGUAUUACUCACCCGUUCGCCACUAAAGUACCCGAAGGUACUUCCGUUCGACUUGCAUGUAUUAGGCACGCCGCCAGCGUUAAUCCUGAGCCAGGAUCAAACUCU
rnacentral:rRNA from 1 species